GAUGAACGCUGGCGGCGUGCCUAAUACAUGCAAGUCGAGCGAACAGACGAGGAGCUUGCUCCUCUGACGUUAGCGGCGGACGGGUGAGUAACACGUGGAUAACCUACCUAUAAGACUGGGAUAACUUCGGGAAACCGGAGCUAAUACCGGAUAAUAUAUUGAACCGCAUGGUUCAAUAGUUAAAGACGGUUUUGCUGUCACUUAUAGAUGGAUCCGCGCCGCAUUAGCUAGUUGGUAAGGUAACGGCUUACCAAGGCAACGAUGCGUAGCCGACCUGAGAGGGUGAUCGGCCACACUGGAACUGAGACACGGUCCAGACUCCUACGGGAGGCAGCAGUAGGGAAUCUUCCGCAAUGGGCGAAAGCUUGACGGAGAAACGCCGCGUGAGUGAUGAAGGUCUUCGGAUCGUAAAACUCUGUUAUUAGGGAAGAACAAAUGUGUAAGUAACUAUGCACGUCUUGACGGUACCUAAUCAGAAAGCCACGGCUAACUACGUG
rnacentral:rRNA from 1 species